rnacentral:lncRNA from 1 species
UGAGGCAAAUAAAUGGUGGUCACACCAGAUACUGACUGGUUUUCUGAUCCACACCCCUACCUUUUUUAAAAGGUAUCUGUGACCAACAGAUGCAUAUAUGUAUGCCCAGUCAUGUGAAAUCCACAGAUUAGGGCCUAAUUAAUUAAUUUAAAUUGACUGAUUUCCUCAUAUGAACUGUAAUUCAGAGAAAUCUUUGAAAUUGAUGAAUGUUGCGUUUCUAUUUUUGCUAAUCGUUGCCAAAGGUGCUUCAACAAAGUACUGAGGAAAGGGUCUGAAUACUUAGAUAAAUGUGAUAUUUUCUGUUUUUUAUUUUUAAUACAUUUGCAAAAAUGUUGCUUCGUCAUUACGGGGUAUUGUGUGUAGAUUGUUGAGGGGAGAAAAAAAAUGAUUGAAUCAAUUUUAGAAUAAGGCUGUAAGGUAACAAAAUGUGGAAAAAGUCAAGGGGUCUGAAUACUUUCAGAAUGCCCUGAUUAGAGAAUAGGGUGCUCUUUUAAACCAUCUGGACACAGUUAAAUGAUUAAUUGUUGUUCAACUGACUAUUAAGGAGAACAACAAUCUGCUCUAGAUAAUACAGGCUACAAUACUAACUGGUGCUAUCUGCUCUAGAUAAUACAGGCUACAAUACUAACUGGUGCUAUCUGCUCUAGAUAAUACAGGCUACAAUACUAACUGGUGCUAUCUGCUCUAGAUAAUACAGGCUACAAUACUAACUGGUGCUAUCUGCUCUAGAUAAUACAGGCUACAAUACUAACUGGUGCUAUCUGCUCUAGAUAAUACAGGCUACAAUACUAACUGGUGCUAUCUGCUCUAGAUAAUACAGGCUACAAUACUAACUGGUGCUAUCUGCUCUAGAUAAUACAGGCUACAAUACUAACUGGUGCUUUCAUGAAAUUCUAACCUUUCCAAGAAUGUCAGUUUCUUGGAAUUUAUUUUCUGACCUCAGAGGUGAACUUAAGUACACAUUUGGAAGAACUAGUACUGUUAUAGUUAUUAUCUGUGGGCUGUACUGUCUGGAGGGACUAGUACUGUCUGGAGGAACUAGUACUGUUGUAGUUACUAUCGGUGGGCUGUACUGUCUG